rnacentral:rRNA from 1 species
ACGAUGUUGGUUAAGUCCCGCAACAGCGCAACCCUUCGCCGUUUUAGUUUGGCCAGCAUUCAGUUUGGGGCACUCUACGAGGGACUGGCCGGUGGUCAAACCGGAGGAAGGUGGGGAUGACGUCAAGUCCUCAUGGCCUUUAUGUCUAGGGCUACACACGUACUACAAUGGCCGGUACAAAGGGCAGCCACUCAGCGAUGAGGCGCUAAUCCCAUAAAGCCGGUCUCAGUCCGGAUCGCAGUCUGCAACUCGACUGCGUGAAGUUGGAAUCGCUAGUAAUCGUAGAUCAGCAUGCUACGGUGAAUACGUUCCCGGGCCUU